rnacentral:rRNA from 1 species
AUUGAACGCUGGCGGCAGGCCUAACACAUGCAAGUCGAGCGAGCGGCGGACGGGUGAGUAAUGUCUGGGAAACUGCCUGAUGGAGGGGGAUAACUACUGGAAACGGUAGCUAAUACCGCAUACCCUCGGAUGUGCCCAGAUGGGAUUAGCUUGUUGGUGGGGUAACGGCUCACCAAGGCGACGAUCCCUAGCUGGUCUGAGAGGAUGACCAGCCAAACUGGAACUGAGAAACGGGCCAGACUCGUACGGGAGGCAGCAGUGGGGAAUAUUGCACAAUGGGCGCAAGCCUGAUGCAGCCAUGCCGCGUGUAUGAAGAAGGCCUUCGGGUUGUAAAGCACUUUCAGCGGGGAGGCGUUACCCGCAGAAGAAGCACCGGCUAACUCCGUGCCAGCAGCCGCGGUAAUAC